UGAAUAUUUUUCUAGAUCCUGGGCUGGGCCGAGAGUUGGGCCGGACGCUAAGCCUGAGUGGAGAGGAUGGGUCGAGUCCGGCCUUGAGGGUUGGAUGAGCCAGGCUUGUUAUGUGUAUCAGGUGUGUGGGCCUCUACGUCAUGGGCCUUGGGCUGUGGUCAAGCCCCUGGCCCGGGGUGAAGGAAUCCAGCGGUCAUCA
rnacentral:lncRNA from 1 species